rnacentral:piRNA from 1 species
UGCCAUGCUAGUCAUUGCCCACCAAGAGGGGU